AAGAAGAAGAAGAAGAAGAAGAAGAAGAAGAACCUUAGACAGAACCAGCACGUGUCGAUGUGAUCUAAAUGCACAAGUCUAUUUACCGGAGGUAACUGGAAGAGAGAGGCAGAGGAAGAGGGUGGAGAGGCAGUGGUGUUGGAGGUGCAGUCAGGGAUAGGAGAGGCAGAGGACAUACCUGGAGUGAUGGCUCAACAGAGGACGAAGAAAGAGUGGAAGCCCUCCAAAGGAACCAGAGAGCUGUUACCGAGACUUCUUCAAGAGAUGACCCUUGAAGAACACAGAGCUCUCCACCCUUCUGCUAGAGAGGCAGCCAGGCCUGGUCUUUGAUGCCUUGAUGAUGCAUCAGCGCAGACAUGGUGCCCCACCUUCUGUUGGAGUGCCAGGAGUACCUUGGUGUACUUGUGGUAACUGUAGGGAAAUGCUGUGGCCAGGAGCAAGUGAACUGUGUGAGCCUACUGCCACACUUCUCCCAGUACUGCCUUGAAGAAGGCUUUAUUCGCAUUCACAGUCAAUACCGGGAGGACAUUACGGCAUUAGGCAACAUCUGGGGGCCUGAGGAUGACAACAGGGAGUACCCAUAUGGUGCCUAUAGACACUUCAUCUGUUGGCAACAUGGAGCUUCCAGUCCCUCUGGCAUGGUCACACAGUUUCACACAAAUACUCACAAACUUGCCUCAGGAUUACAUUUCUAUAUAUAUUUAUUCAUAUUUUUCCCCUCUUUAUUUAAAUUUGAUGUAUAUUGUAUAGUUAUAUAGUGUUAUAGUUGUUCAACUGCAGUUCUAUGGUAUCGAAAAAAUAAAAGGUAAGAAAUAGAAGCA